CUCUUGCGACUUUCUCUUGCCUCUUCUUUCUUGUCUCUCCAUCCACAGAAGGAGAAAAGGGCAGAAGAGGCAAUUGUGUUGCAGGAAAAGAGGAUUCUCAAUAAAGAGGCAAAUGAGGAAAGACUCCAGGCACCGAUCUUUUCUGCUGGGGCAGAUGGGUGACUUAGUGCAUCAACCCAGGUGUUCUGGACUUUCUUGGUAUGUGGAUGUUACCUAUUGACAAGAACGUUAAGCCUUGGAAGACUUCGGAUAUCAAAGCAGACUGCAAUACUUGUGUGGAAAUAGAGGACAGAAAGGUAAGUCUAUAUUUUUCAUCUUUUUGGUUUCAAACAAAACAAGAU
rnacentral:lncRNA from 1 species